rnacentral:rRNA from 1 species
GAUGAACGCUGGCGGCGUGCCUAAUACAUGCAAGUCGAGCGAACAGACGAGGAGCUUGCUCCUCUGACGUUAGCGGCGGACGGGUGAGUAACACGUGGAUAACCUACCUAUAAGACUGGGAUAACUUCGGGAAACCGGAGCUAAUACCGGAUAAUAUAUUGAACCGCAUGGUUCAAUAGUGAAAGACGGUUUUGCUGUCACUUAUAGAUGGAUCCGCGCCGCAUUAGCUAGUUGGUAAGGUAACGGCUUACCAAGGCAACGAUGCGUAGCCGACCUGAGAGGGUGAUCGGCCACACUGGAACUGAGACACGGUCCAGACUCCUACGGGAGGCAGCAGUAGGGAAUCUUCCGCAAUGGGCGAAAGCCUGACGGAGCAACGCCGCGUGAGUGAUGAAGGUCUUCGGAUCGUAAAACUCUGUUAUUAGGGAAGAACAAAUGUGUAAGUAACGAUGCACGUUUUGACGGUACCUAAUCAGAAAGCCACGGCUAACUACGU